GGAAAGCUGGCAGAGUGGUCGAUCGCGCACCCUUGGAAAGGGUGUGUGCCGCAAGGUACCGGGGGUUCGAAUCCCCCGCUUUCCG
rnacentral:tRNA from 1 species